rnacentral:tRNA from 1 species
GAAAUGGUGGUUCAGUGGUAGAAUUCCUACUUUCCAUGUGAGGGACCUGGGUUUGACUCCUAGCCAAUGCG